rnacentral:rRNA from 1 species
UGGCAUGCGAAUCUCGAAAGCCUAUCUCAGUUCGGAUUGGAGGCUGAAACCCGCCUCCAUGAAGUUGGAUUCGCUAGUAAUCGCGCAUCAGCCAUGGCGCGGUGAAUACGUUCCCGGGCCUUGUACACACCGCCCCGUCAAGCCAUGGGGAGCCGGGGGUGCCUGAAGUUCGUUACCACAAGGAUCGACCUAGGGCAAAACUGGUGACUGGGGCUAAGUCGUAACAAGGUAAC